rnacentral:rRNA from 1 species
UACAGAGGUCUCAAGCGUUGUUCGGAAUCAUUGGGCGUAAAGCGCACGUAGGCGGUCCAGCAAGUCGGGUGUGAAAGCCCUCGGCUUAACCGAGGAAGUGCAUUCGAAACUACUGGGCUUGAGUACUGAAGAGGAUCGCGGAAUUCCCGGUGUAGAGGUGAAAUUCGUAGAUAUCGGGAGGAACACCAGUGGCGAAGGCGGCGAUCUGGGCAGAUACUGACGCUGAGGUGCGAAAGCGUGGGGAGCAAACAGG